rnacentral:lncRNA from 1 species
CAGACAUCUAUCUAUCUAUCUAUCUAUCUAUCUAUCUAUCUAUCUAUCAUUGACGAUAAUGAUAAAAAUUAUAAAAAUAUAUUGUUUAAUAUUAAUUAUAUUGCAUUCGACAGUUCCUGGAUGGAAAGUGUUAGGUAUAGACGGUGAGAAACAGGUGAGAGCUAAUGGGAGUUUUUCAUUUCAGUGAGGUCAUUAGGAUUCAUGCCGAAGACUUGAUUAAAAACCAGAGCCAACUUAACACAAUCUCAGCCCAGCCUUAUGACCAUGUGUGCUACGACUAAAUUAACAGUGUGUUUAACAACGCGCAAGAUAGGCAUCCUUCCUAAUGCCUUAAAGAAGUGGAUGUGGAAACCGAACUGCGCGAUAACGACCAUUUGUCGGGGCUGCGAGGGCCUGGGAGUUCAAGAGACGCGCCACUGCCAGCGAGUCUCACGCUCGGAGAGUGUGGAUGUGUGGAAGUUCACCCGGCCCUGACAGGACGCCUGCUCCUCUGAGGUACUAAGCAACUUGCUUUAGUUUCAUUUGUGCAAUGUGGAAGGGAUGAUAUGAGAAUGGGUAAUUAAUGACAGAAUUUUCAUUUUUGAGUGGAAAAUUUCUAUGGAAAUGUCACUUGAAAAACACUUUAUUAAAUAUAUUAAAAUAAAACAAUCUGAACAAUUACACCUUCUUGAGCCAUCGAUUUGGCAAUAUUUGUUUUUUAAUGAAUUAUAAAGAAUUUCAAGCACCACAACAAGCACCACUGCUCGUCCCCAUGGCCAUGUACAGAGGGAAAGUGCUUUAUUUUGAGGUUAAAACAGGUUUUUCUACCAUUUAAAAUACAAAAAUGUAUUCACAGCUAUCAAAUAUAUGAUGUAAAUGACAUAAACAAAACAAAAUGCCAAAUAAAUAUUAUAAAAAUAUAUAAUGAAAGUAGUGGUCUUCUGGAGUUCAAAAAUCAUUUAUUUUGAAAUAAAAAUCACGCUGAUGACAUCACUUGACUUCCUUCUUCCUAUUUCCAAAAAGAUCUAUGAAAAAAGGCCCAUGAUAAGUCCACUGUCUCUUUCCAGUUAUCAGAAAUGUUCUCAUUUAUCUCAUGAUAAGUCAUAAAUCACUGGUAUGACCUACUUUAUUGUUAGAGAAUUGUAGAAUACUAUAAUACAAAUGGAUUAAACUUCUUAAUUUAGUGAAUAUACUAUGAUUGAUAACGUGGUUUGAUAGCUUGCUGCAGACAUUUUGUAAAAUGCAUUUUUCAUGAAAAUUGUCACUGGUGUUACCUUCCUUAUGGGUAACACCAGUGAAGAUCACUUUUACUAACUGCUUUCACUAAUUGCUAAAUGUAUGCCAAAUGUAACAAUUUAGUCUCAUCUAAUAAUUAUAGUUGAAGAAUAAGGAUCUUUGGUCUUAUGUAUGUCACUGGUGAUUCACUGUGUGUGUGUUUUUUCUGUCAGAUUAAAUAAAAGGUGUCACAUGUGACAUGAUAAUAAUUUGACAUCCAUUGAAUUCUGUUCACUCGAGAGUUAAGAUUUAAAGGAUUUCAUCAUUACUUGUUUAUAACUGUUGUUUGUAUUUGUUUUUUUUUUUCAAAUAUUUUCAUUGUUUUGCAAGUACAUGGUUGCGUAAAUGGACUAACAUCAUUCAAUCAAACUUUAACAAACCUGAUUAAAAUCAAUAAAACAUAAUCUCCUUGUUUGUUUGAUUAACAUUAUUUUUCUGUAACUCUGACUAAAUGUGCUUAUAAAAAUCAAUAAAUAAUAUUUCAGAAAACCUUUAAAAUUGCCAAAGUAGUAACACCAGUGAUAAAAAAGGUACAUGUGGUCUUAAAAUAAAUGCUCAAAAAAGAUAAUAAAAAAUAUCAUUUAGCUGCCAUUUAUGUGUAUUCAUAAAGUCAAAAGAUAAUCUGAUAAUGUGGUCUAAGUUGAAAUGUUAAAAGAAGAAAUACAUUUUAAGACAUCUAGCCAUAACAAAAGUGGAUGUUUCUGUAGAAUGACCCGGCUUCAUUCGGUUCAUAAGGACAGAUGAUGUCUUGUGGUUGUAUUAUGUUAUAUACAAUUAUAAGGUAAAAUCGUUAAAUGUAUGUCCAUAAACGUGUGUAAAUACACAUACAUGUACAUCAAUAUCCCCUCCAAAAAAAAUUAUAAACACAUUUGUAUUAAACCUCACUUUAAAGUUGCACAAAAUAAAAAUUCAACCUUUCUAUUUUGUAAAUGCAAUGUAUAAAUCUUAUUGUGAAUGAUUCAUCCAUAUAUAAGUUUCAUUUUUUAAGGUUUUCUGGUCCCUGAAUUUUGUGAUUUUGGGCUAUUUUGCUUCCAUAACUUGUCUUCAGUCUAUUGAAAAGAAAACAUCCAAAAGAAACAUUUGAGUGUUUAUGUUAUGCGUAUUACAUGUUAUCCAUUUGCAUGUGUAGAUUUUAAUUAUAAUACAUAUCUUUAAAAGUCAUUUUCUUAUAAUGAGUUUAUAUUUCUGAGCACUGAGCCAGACAUCUCCACUUCACCUAAAUAUACAGUUUGUUUCUAUCUAUAUUCUGAAGGUCUUUUAUUUUUCUUUCUAUUUUCUAUUUUUUUUAAAGAAGGGAUUGUUCAUAUAACAUAUUUUCCCCCCUUUUUUUUGCCCUUGCUGAUAACAGUAUUUUUGAUUUAUAGAGAUUUUACGGCGUUAAGCACAGUGUUAUGUAAUACUGGAUCAAUGUUGUUAUGUAUAAAUGGUUAAUAGGCUUUCUUACAUCAUUUAUAGGAUGUUUAUUGUGACGAAAAUAUGUUUUUGUUUAAUUUAAUUAAAGCUUGAAAGAAAUAUGGUUAUAUCCACCAUGGGUAAAAGUGAUUAGACUAGGCCUAAUUUUGCAGUACAGAUGUGAACAUGUAAAUUGUUUUUUAGGUUUAAAUCAGUUAAAUUAUAAUUUACAGGUGACAAUAUUUGAAUUUUGAUGAUAUCAGUGGUAUCAUUAUCUCUUCUGAUAAUAUUUUCCUCAUUAUUUUUUCUUUUUACAAAAUUUGCCAUAAACAUUAUUAUUGUUAAAAGUGGACCAAGUACUCUGGAACAAGCAGCUAAAUGAACUGCAACUGUAUUUUUGCGUUUAACUGAAAUAAUUCAUUAAAAUAUUAGUAUGUAUAACAGGUUUUGUGCAUCUCCAGACCCAAAUGGUUUGAGAUUGCAAAUAUGUUUUUUAGAUCAACUGAUUGAUUGAUAAAUGAAUAAAUGUAAUUUAAGAUUUAAUGAAAGGAAAACCUACUAUAUAAAAAGUGUGCAAGAGUGUAACAGACGCAAAUGACGGAAGAAUGAUUGAGAUUCGCUCUCUACACCUCCAGUCAAGACAAAUGGCGACACCUUGUGGUCACUGACUAAAAGCCAUGCCCUCGUCAUAGAAAACAAUGCACCGUGAACUGGAUCUACGCAGUUCGGAUAGUUGCAACUUAUUGAAAAAUUGCAGAAAUACAUUAAUUGUUAUUUGAGGACAUAAAUACAGAUUUUGUACAAUAAUUGAUCAAUCAUAAACGCUCACAUUAAAUUAUUUAAUCAUUUAAAUUCAUACUGAAGCUAUGAAUACAGUGAGGUAAUUAAAUAUUUUAUAGAAUGGAAUAGAACGUGAAUAUAAUUAAUGUAAAUUAGCAGGAGUUGGGAAGGUUUGUGGGGUUUUACGUUAUUAUUCCUGCCAUCGUUAACGAACGGACAAAAAAAACUAAUUAUUAUUUUUGUCAGCUCACUUAAAUCGUACCAGCUGAAUUAUUCAAUUAUACACAAAAUACUAGUGAUUAGUUUAAAUUUACUUUUCCAGUUGCUUUAGUAAAAAUUGAAGGACUUUUAUUUUGGAUGUAUGCCAAAGGAAAUACGUAAGCGAAGGUCGCUGGGAAAACCCAAACCCUGCUGUGUGAUGAUGAUGAGUGCGACACACAGUUGACCAACCGGUCACGUUACAGUUCUGUAAUAUCACCUCUUCGUCUCAUCUCAAGAUUCACAGCAGCUGGGAUCGAAACUCAAAGGCUCCUCGCUAUAAAGCUGCUAUUCGCUGGGUGAAGGGUCAGAUUAGAUAAGAGAGAAGAGUCAAGAAUCAGUCCGCCGCGCCGGCUCGCUGUA